AUUGAACGCUGGCGGCAGGCCUAACACAUGCAAGUCGAGCGGCAGCGGGAAAGUAGCUUGCUACUUUUGCCGGCGAGCGGCGGACGGGUGAGUAAUGCCUGGGGAUCUGCCCAGUCGAGGGGGAUAACUACUGGAAACGGUAGCUAAUACCGCAUACGCCCUACGGGGGAAAGCAGGGGACCUUCGGGCCUUGCGCGAUUGGAUGAACCCAGGUGGGAUUAGCUAGUUGGUGAGGUAAUGGCUCACCAAGGCGACGAUCCCUAGCUGGUCUGGGAGGAUGAUCAGCCACACUGGAACUGAGACACGGUCCAGACGCCUACGGGAGGCAGCAGUGGGGAAUAUUGCACAAUGGGGGAAACCCUGAUGCAGCCAUGCCGCGUGUGUGAAGAAGGCCUUCGGGUUGUAAAGCACUUUCAGCGAGGAGGAAAGGUUGGUAGCUAAUAACUGCCAGCUGUGACGUUACUCGCAGAAGAAGCACCGGCUAACUCCGUGCCAGCCGCCGCCGUAAAAC
rnacentral:rRNA from 1 species